AUACAGAGGGUGCAAGCGUUAAUCGGAUUUACUGGGCGUAAAGCGCGCGUAGGCGGCUAAUUAAGUCAAAUGUGAAAUCCCCGAGCUUAACUUGGGAAUUGCAUUCGAUACUGGGUAGCUAGAGUGUGGGAGAGGAGGGUAGAAUUCCAGGUGUAGCGGUGAAAUGCGUAGAGAUCUGGAGGAAUACCGAUGGCGAAGGCAGCCAUCUGGCCUAACACUGACGCUGAGGUGCGAAAGCAUGGGGAGCAAACAGGAUUAGAAACCCCGGUAGUCC
rnacentral:rRNA from 1 species